CCCAACUGACUUCAGUGGAGCUCUGCCAGUUUAUACAAGCUGAAGAUCUGGCCCACAGUUUGCCCUCUGAGAGUUCCAGCAAGCUCAGGGAGUUUCUAGGAAGAGAGCAUAUAAACAAUUUUUCCUGGGUUAAAAGUGAAAUAAAUCUGCUCAACAAGCCAGACUGAGUACACUGGACCAUCAGCACCUGCUGAGAUAACCUUCAGUCUUCCUCAGGGCUGCUUAUCAGUUCCAGUGAAGAAACUAUUAGAUUCCCAAAUGGUUCCCUAACAGCCACUUUGCCGCCUUCCUCCAGCUCCUAUGUCCUGCAAUGAUCACAGCAUGUCCGGAUCCAAGAAUCAGGCCCGUUGUGUUGAAAGCAGGCUGAUACCAGGACAGGCAGCAUGGAGUAGCUUUGUGCCUUAUUUAUCCUUUUGCAAGACCAGAUGCUUAUCUAGCUGAACCCCUAUGUUCCUAUACUGCAUGAACUGGCACAAGCUUAUUAACUGUUCUGUAACAAAGUCUGUAAAUAGUGGGUACCAGAGCCUUUGUUACCUGCUUCGAAGCUAUG